rnacentral:rRNA from 1 species
UUAUCGGAGAGUUUGAUCCUGGCUCAGGACGAACGCUGGCGGCGUGCCUAAUACAUGCAAGUCGAGCGGACAGAUGGGAGCUUGCUCCCUGAUGUUAGCGGCGGACGGGUGAGUAACACGUGGGUAACCUGCCUGUAAGACUGGGAUAACUCCGGGAAACCGGGGCUAAUACCGGAUGGUUGUUUGAACCGCAUGGUUCAAACAUAAAAGGUGGCUUCGGCUACCACUUACAGAUGGACCCGCGGCGCAUUAGCUAGUUGGUGAGGUAAUGGCUCACCAAGGCGACGAUGCGUAGCCGACCUGAGAGGGUGAUCUAGCACACUGGGACUGAGACACGGUACCAGACUCCUACGGGAGGCAGCAGUAGGGAAUCUUCCGCAAUGGACGAAAGUCUGACGGAGCAACGCCGCGUGAGUGAUGAAGGUUUUCGGAUCGUAAAGCUCUGUUGUUAGGGAAGAACAAGUACCGUUCGAAUAGGGCGGUACCUUGACGGUACCUAACCAGAAAGCCACGGCUAACUACGUGCCAGCAGCCGCGGUAAUACGUAGGUGGCAAGCGUUGUCCGGAAUUAUUGGGCGUAAAGGGCUCGCAGGCGGUUUCUUAAGUCUGAUGUGAAAGCCCCCGGCUCAACCGGGGAGGGUCAUUGGAAACUGGGGAACUUGAGUGCAGAAGAGGAGAGUGGAAUUCCACGUGUAGCGGUGAAAUGCGUAGAGAUGUGGAGGAACACCAGUGGCGAAGGCGACUCUCUGGUCUGUAACUGACGCUGAGGAGCGAAAGCGUGGGGAGCGAACAGGAUUAGAUACCCUGGUAGUCCACGCCGUAAACGAUGAGUGCUAAGUGUUAGGGGGUUUCCGCCCCUUAGUGCUGCAGCUAACGCAUUAAGCACUCCGCCUGGGGAGUACGGUCGCAAGACUGAAACUCAAAGGAAUUGACGGGGGACCGCACAAGCGGUGGAGCAUGUGGUUUAAUUCGAAGCAACGCGAAGAACCUUACCAGGUCUUGACAUCCUCUGACAAUCCUAGAGAUAGGACGUCCCCUUCGGGGGCAGAGUGACAGGUGGUGCAUGGUUGUCGUCAGCUCGUGUCGUGAGAUGUUGGGUUAAGUCCCGCAACGAGCGCAACCCUUGAUCUUAGUUGCCAGCAUUCAGUUGGGCACUCUAAGGUGACUGCCGGUGACAAACCGGAGGAAGGUGGGGAUGACGUCAAAUCAUCAUGCCCCUUAUGACCUGGGCUACACACGUGCUACAAUGGACAGAACAAAGGGCAGCGAAACCGCGAGGUUAAGCCAAUCCCACAAAUCUGUUCUCAGUUCGGAUCGCAGUCUGCAACUCGACUGCGUGAAGCUGGAAUCGCUAGUAAUCGCGGAUCAGCAUGCCGCGGUGAAUACGUUCCCGGCCUUGUACACACCGCCCGUCACACCACGAGAGUUUGUAACACCCGAAGUCGGUGAGGUAACCUUUUAGGAGCCAGCCGCCGAAGGUGGGACAGAUGAUUGGGGUGAAGUCGUAACAAGGUAGCCGUAUCGGAAGGUGCGGCUGGAUCACCUCCUUU